GGCACGUCGUGACGCACUGCGGCGCGACGGCCGCGGGUUUGAUGAACGCGGUUCCCGGGGAGAUCGGUGCGGUUGCUGUGUGCUAUGGAGCCGAGGGUCGUCAAGCCACCGGGGCAGGAUUUAGUAGUGGAGAGUCUCAAAAGCCGCUACGGACUCGGGGGCAGCUGCCCCGACGAGGUGAAGCCGCCGCCUAAGUAUGAUUUUUCAAAUUUUUAUCAGUCUAAGAGAAGAACUCUAACCUCCACAGGUGAUUUGGAUGUCUACUCUGGAGAUAAAGUUGGUUCAUCGUUAAAAUAUUCUGAUGAAAGCAAGCAUUGUAGAACACCAUUGGGCAGCUUAUUCAAGCACGUAAAUGUGAAUUGCCUAGAUGAUGAACUGGAUUCUUUCCAUGAUUUGAAGAAACAGGAAACAGAAGAAGAGUUAAUUGAAAAUGAUUAUAGAGUUAGUACCUCGAAAAUAACCAAGCAGUCUUUUAAAGAAAUAGAAAAAGUUGCCUUGCCAACUAAUACGACCUCAUCGAGACCUCGGACUGAGUGUUGUAGUGAUGCAGGUGACUCUCCUUUGAAACCUGUCAGCUGUCCAAAAUCUAAAGCAUCAGACAAGCGGAGUUUACUUCCACAUCAGAUCAGUCAGAUACAUGACGAAUUAUUUCAGAUACAUCUGAAAUUGCAGUGUGAAACUGCAGCACAACAGAAAUUUGCUGAAGAACUUCAAAAGCGAGAACGUUUUUUACUUGAAAGAGAACAACUGCUUUUCAGACAUGAAAAUGCCUUGAGUAAAAUUAAAGGUGUUGAAGAAGAGGUUCUUAAAAGAUUUCAAAUUAUAAAAGAGCAGCAUGAUGCAGAAGUUGAACACUUAACUGAAGUUCUUAAGGAAAAGAAUAAAGAAACCAAGAGACUGAGGUCCUCUUUUGAUGCAUUGAAAGAAUUGAAUGAUACCUUAAAAAAACAGUUAAAUGAAGCAAGUGAAGAAAACAGGAAGAUAGACAUUCAGGCUAAAAGAGUUCAAGCUCGUUUAGAUAAUUUACAGAGGAAGUACGAGUUUAUGACAAUACAGAGAUUGAAAGGAAGUUCCCAUGCUGUUCAUGAAAUGAAAAGUUUAAAACAAGAAAAAGCACCAGUUUCAAAAACUUACAAGGUACCACUUAAUGGGCAAGUUUAUGAACUUUUAACUGUCUUCAUGGACUGGAUUUCGGAUCAUCAUCUUAGCAAAGUGAAACAUGAAGAAUCUGGAAUGGAUGAGCCUCCAUUAUGGCAUGCUGAAUUUAGCAAAGAAGAAUUGGUUCAGAAGCUCAGUUCCACCACAGAAAGUGCAGAUCACUUAAACGGCCUGCUUCGGGAAACAGAGGCAACCAAUGCAGUCCUUAUGAAGCAAAUUAAGCUGGACGGUACUGCUGCCAUCUCAGCUCACUGCAACCUCCCUGCCUGAUUCUCCUGCCUCAGCCUGCCGAGUGCCUGCGAUUGCAGGCGCGCACCGCCCCGCCUGACUGGUUUUCGUAUUUUUUUGGUGGAGACGGGGUUUCGCUGUGUUGGCCGGGCUGGUCUCCAGCUCCUAACCGCGAGUGAUCAGCCAGCCUCGGCCUCCCGAGGUGCCGGGAUUGCAGACAGAGUCUGGUUAACUCAGCGCUCAAUGGUGCCCAGGCUGGAGUGCAGUGGCGUGAUCUUGGCCCACUACAACCACCUCCCAGCCGCCUGCCUUGGCCUCCCAAAGUGCCGAGAUUGCAGCCUCUGCCCGGCUGCCGCCCCGUCUGGGAAGUGAGGAGCGUCUCCGCCUGGCCGCCCAUCGUCCGGGAUGUGAGGAGCCCCUCUGCCUGGCUGCCCAGUCUGGAAAGUGAGGAGCGUCUCUGCCCGGCCGCCAUCCCAUCUAGGAAACAAGGAGCGCCUCUUCCCAGCCGCCAUCACAUCUGGGAAGUGAGGAGCCUCUCUGCCCGGCCGCCCAUCGUCUGAGAUGUGGGGAGCACCUCUGCCCUGCCGCCCAGUCCGGGAUGUGAGGAGCGUCUCUGCCCGGCCGCCCCGUCUGAGAAGUGAGGAGACCCGCUGCCUGGCAACCGCCCCGCCCGAGAAGUGAGGAGCCCCUCCGCCCGGCAGCCACCCCGCCCGAGAAGUGAGGAGCCCCUCCGCCCAGCAGCCACCCCGUCUGGGAAGUGAGGAGCGUCUCCGCCCGGCAGCCACCUCGUCCGGGAGGGAGGUGGAGGGAUCAGCCCCCCGCCCGGCCAGCCACCCUGUCCGGGAGCUUCUCAAAAGUGAAAUAAGAAGAUUGGAAAGGAAUCAAGAGCGAGAGGAGUCUGCAGCUAACGUGGAACACUUGAAGAACGUCUUGCUGCAGUUCAUUUUCUUGAAGCCAGGUAGUGAAAGAGAGAGACUUCUUCCUG